GAUGAAGAACGUAGCGAAAUGCGAUAAGUAAUGUGAAUUGCAGAAUUCAGUGAAUCAUCGAAUCUUUGAACGCACAUUGCGCCCGCCAGUAUUCUGGCGGGCAUGCCUGUUCGAGCGUCAUUUCAACCAUCAAGCCCCGGGCUUGUGUUGGGGACCUGCGGCUGCCGCAGGCCCUGAAAUGCAGUGGCGGGCUCGCUGUCACUCCGAGCGUAGUAGUUACAUCUCGCUCUGGGCGUGCUGCGGGUUCCGGCCGUUAAAAGCCUUAUUUACCCAAGGUUGACCUCGGAUCAGGUAGGAAGACCCGCUGAACUUAAGCAUUUCAAUAAGCGGAGGA
rnacentral:misc_RNA from 1 species